rnacentral:lncRNA from 1 species
UGGGGAACAAUGGCAUUGGGACUUGACGCCUACAGAUAACUUCGGCGCUAAGAUUUCUUCGGGCACAAAGGACCCUCGCACCAAGCAUACCUGGUGAUGAUAUCAGCUGAAGUAAUUAAGGCAGUUUCGUGCUGUAGAGAGAAAGGUGGAGCCCCAACAACAUGAAACUACCUAAACCACAGAGCAGUUCUCAGGCGCUAAUAAUUACUUUCCCCAUAGCCGUGGUCUUUAACGCAAGGAUCCCGCUACGGAAAUAAAACCAGAAACGUGACCCCGCGGUCCCUCUCGCCCCCCGCGCACCCCGCCGGGCCCCCCGCGCCCCCCGGCCGGGUUCAGGGAAACGGAGAAAUAGCAUCAGAACCCCCCCCCCGAGGGCGGCUUUCGCCUCUCCAUGCAGAUGGGAAGGCCGUCCGCUGCGAUGUUACAUCAUAAAAAGCUAACGGCUCCCUCUAAGCCCGGGUUCAAAGUCUCUCCCCCUCCUCCCAGCACACACAUACCCGGGAAGAAAGCUGGAGCUGUCGCUCCUCUGCCAGCCCUCGCUGUGCCUUCCCUUUGUGCGAGCCCCCGCUAGCUGAGCAUGCAGCGAAGGAGGGAGGAUGCAAAGGCGGCCCGGGGGGAAUAAGCGCUCCCGCAUGCAGCCAGUCUGUGCAGCUCCUCAGUCAACUGAAACCACUCGUUCAAGACAGCAACAAUCCAGAUAUACUAGCAAGUCAUAAAACUGAACAAAAGCCGACAAACCUUAGAGCACCAUCGCUAUAUGGCCCAGACAAAUUACGACCGUCUAGGGGGAAUCGUUGUGUGCUUAUCCCGUGUUACCAACGGUAA